CACCCGCAUUUUGGGGUCCCCGUCUCACAUUUUAGGGGUGAUGCUGAACACGGAGCAGCUGAUCAAGCAUGCGGUGCAGGAGAGGUUGGCAGUGACCGUGUGCAUCAACAAGAUCGACCGGCUCAUCCUGGAGCUCAAACUGCCCCCAACAGAUGCUUAUUACAAACUCAGACACAUUGUAGAUGAAGUUAAUGGUCUCAUCAGAAAUCAAAGAAGAAAUUAAUGACUGAUGCUAGUCUCUGAGGGGAAAAAAAAACAAAGGAAAAGGAAACACUGCCACUUUAAACUCUGCAAAACAAGAAGAGUCAAAAAGAGAGUCAAGAAUAAUAAUAUUUGCAACAGAAGCACUUUUUUAUUUCUUUUUUUCUUGGUUGUGUUUUUUUUUCCUUGUUGCCAUAAUUAUUUUCCUGCUGAGGAAAGAAGCGGAGAAAUUUCAGUCAAUAAAAGCUUCUGGUCUGUGGUGGGGUUUUUUGUUUGUUUUUUGUAAGUCUCCCGACUUUAA